rnacentral:rRNA from 1 species
CCCUUAGAUGUUCUGGGCGGCCCGCGCACUACAUUGGCACUAGCAAAGAGAUCCUAGAUUGAAUUCUUUGGGGUAUUCUUCUAAAAGGUGUCGUGACUGGGAUAAAUCCUUGUAAUUAUUGGUUUUGAACGAGGAAUUCCUUGUAAUCGCGGUUUAUCAGCUCGCGUUGAAUGCGUCCCUGCCCUUUGUACACACCGCCCGUCGCUCCUACCGAUGGAUCGUCCGGUGAAGCUCACGGAGUGACUGUUCACGCAACGGUUUACGAAGUGAAAUGGACCUCACGAUUUAGAGGAAGGAGAAGUCGUAACA